UACCAGCACCCCGAGUGGUCGGGACGUUUAUUGGGCCUAAAGCAUCCGUAGCCGGUUCUACAAGUCUUCCGUUAAAUCCAACUGCUUAACAGGUGGGCUGCGGAAGAUACUAUAGAGCUAGGAGGCGGGAGAGGCAAGCGGUACUCGAUGGGUAGGGGUAAAAUCCGUUGAUCCAUUGAAGACCGCCAGUGGCGAAGGCGGCUUGCCAGAACGCGCUCGACGGUGAGGGAUGAAAGCUGGGGGAGCAAACCGGG
rnacentral:rRNA from 1 species